AGACUUCAUUUCUGCUCUUACAGGGCUUACAUUUGAGUGUUUUCUCUUCAAGAACCUGGACGUUUAGUCUAGGUUGUGUCUUCCGUGAGAAAGGCUGGCGUUGGGUAAGGCUGGAGAGAAACAGAUCUGAAGCCAAUCCCUGAGCCUCCUGGGCCAUACACUGUCCCACUAUUUCAAAAGAAACUCAGUGACGAGAGGGCAGAGGGAGAAUAUGUCCAGCAUCUCAGCCUCAUUGUUUUCCACUUGGCAGCCCCCUCCAGUUCAGGGAUUCAUUUGAAGAAGCCCACAGGGACGGGUGACACUGAGGAAACAAAACCCAGGCCCCCCGGCCUCCGACUGAGCCGUGCAGAGCAUGCUGGGAGAUCACCUCCACCUGAGGAGCACAAAAGACCCCAGGAGUGGAGGAAGCUGGCCUGAGGCCAACUGGAUGUAGCAGACUUGCUGAGCCCAAGGAGGGAGGUCUGGUGAUGGAGCCUCGAGUACAUAUCCUUCCAAUCCUAAGAAAAAACACAACAGGAAACUUAAAUGAAUGGCUCAAAGAAAUUGCAAACGUUUGCCCAGAUCAAGACCUAAGAUGUUAUUAGCUCCUUAGAAGUCUCGCUCCUGCCCUCUCUAAAUUGUUAUCCUUCAUCCAUACCUUUCCCCAAAAGUGGCCUCUUUCUGGAUUUUUAACAACAGUUUUGUCUGCUUUUUCACUUAAUAUAAAUAAAAUGCAUUCUUUUGUGGUUGAUUUAUUUUCCCGAACACUGUGUAUGUGAGCUUCCUUUCUGUUGUGUCUGAAGCUUUUGUUUGUUUAUCAUUGAAUGUCAUUUUGUUGUAUGAUGAUAUGAUUAUUGAUUGAUUCUUCUGUUGAGGGGUAUUUGAUUUAUUUGCGGGUUAAUGUGAAUAGUAUCAUUAUGAAUAUUCUUUUCCCUCUCUUGGUACACUCAUUUCUGUUAGGUAUGUACCUAGGAAGGGAAUUGCUCA